rnacentral:rRNA from 1 species
AAUCAACGCUGGCGGCGUGCCUAACACAUGCAAGUCGAACGCGAAAGCCCCGCAAGGGGUGAGUAGAGUGGCAAACGGGUGAGUAACGCGUGGGUGACCUGCCUUCGAGCGGGGGAUAACGUUCCGAAAGGGACGCUAAUACCGCAUGACAUCCUGCCUUUGAACAGGCGGAAAUCAAAGCUGGGGAUCGCAAGACCUAGCGCUCGAAGAGGGGCCCGCGUCCUAUCAGCUUGUUGGUGAGGUAACGGCUCACCAAGGCUUCGACGGGUAGCUGGUCUGAGAGGACGAUCAGCCACACUGGCACUGCGACACGGGCCAG